AGCGAACGCUGGCGGCAUGCUUAACACAUGCAAGUCGCACGGGCGGGGGCAACUCCGUCAGUGGCGGACGGGUGAGUAACGCGUAGGAAUCUAUCCUUGAAUGGGGGACAACCGUGGGAAACUACGGCUAAUACCGCAUGAUGCCUGAGGGCCAAAGACGAAAGUCGUUUGAGGAGGAGCCUGCGUCUGAUUAGGUAGUUGGUGGGGUAAAGGCCUACCCAAGCCUACGAUCAGUAGCUGGUCUGAGAGGAUGAUCAGCCACAUUGGGACUGAGACACGGCCCAAACUCCUACGGGAGGGCAGCAGUGGGGAAGUAUUGGACAAUGGGCGGCCAAGCCUGAUCCCAGCAAUGCCGCGUGGGUGAAGAAGGUCUUCGGGAUUAGUAAAGCCCUUUUGGCGGGGACGGAUGAUGACGGUACCCCGCAGAAUAAGCCUCCGGCUAACUUCGUG
rnacentral:rRNA from 1 species